GUACCUGAGUCAGGCCGAGCGACUGCCCACCUACGGCGUGCACUUCUACCGCGUCACCGACAAGAGCUGCAACAACGCCUGGUGGCUGGGCAUCUCGACACUGGGCAUCGCGCAGUACGACAUCGCCGACCGCGGCAAGUCGCGCCGGCUGUUCCAGUGGAAGCAGUUGGAGAACGUCACGUUUCGUGACGGGCGCUUUUCGAUCGAAGUAGACGAGCCCAAAAAGGUGUCCGUGAGCCGCCGCACGCUCGGGCCGGGACACAUCAGCGUCUACUCGUGGUUCGCCGCCUCCCAGACGGCAUGCCGCAACAUCUGGUUCACGGCCGU